UACGGGAGGCAGCAGUGGGGAAUAUUGCACAAUGGGCGCAAGCCUGAUGCAGCCAUGCCGCGUGUAUGAAAAAGGCCUUCGGGUUGUAAAGUACUUUCAGUCGUGAGGAAGGUGUUAAGGUUAAUAACCUUAGCAAUUGACGUUAGCGACAGAAGAAGCACCGGCUAACUCCGUGCCAGCAGCCGCGGUAAUACGGAGGGUGCGAGCGUUAAUCGGAAUUACUGGGCGUAAAGGGCACGCAGGCGGUUAAUUAAGUUGGAUGUGAAAUCCCCGGGCUUAACCUGGGAAUGGCAUUCAAGCUGGUUAGCUAGAGUCUUGUAGAGGGGGUAGAAUUCCAUGUGUAGCGGUGAAAUGCGUAGAGAUGUGGAGAAAUACCGGUGGCGAAGGCGGCCCCUGGACAAAGACUGACGCUCAUGUGCGAAAGCGUGGGGAGCGAAACAGGGA
rnacentral:rRNA from 1 species